CCCCCCCCCCCCCCCAGGGAAUGGUAUCAAGCUAGCACACGCAAGGACGUUGGAUACUGCUAAAAAUUUGUAUAGAUACGUUUCUAUCAUUCCGCAUGAGGGUGACUUUGAGGUCGACGAAGCGCAGCUGUGUUUCUCUGAAUAAUUGUUUGAAAGCACCCGAACAAGAUACCUCUGGGCAUUUAUCUUUAUUCCAUCAGACAUUUAUAUACUUAGCCGUCAAAUGUAUAAUUUAUCCUACAAUCAGAUAUGUUAUGAUGUCGUCAACAUGGUGUAAAAUAAUCGGAUUCAUCAUCAGUUAUCCGUUAUCGGUCACGUUAGCCGUCUAUUCUAAAUAAAAACGAACCAACACGAGCGACUGGAUUUUGUUUUUAAGAGUAAUCUAACUAGGAUCUACGUAUAUUCACUAAUUAUCGCACAACGAACCAUAAGCUGCUAAAUAACUUUCGAUUUGAACUUCUUCAUGUAUUAACUUCUUCUGAAACAGAAAGGCUGGAAAGAUUUGUAGAGAGCCAUUAAAGACGAUUCAGUUUUGGAAAGUGAUAACUAAGUGUGUAUUUCGUAUUGUACAAUGUAGUCAUUUUUAAUGUAUAAUGAUUUAUAUGUAUAUUUGUUUUAUAUAAAAAUAAAUAAACGUCCGUAUAAUCUUUUUGUUUUUCUUGUUUAUGUCGGACCCGUUCGACCACUCGGAUUAUUUGUCGUCAAAUUAUAGAAACUUUUUAAUAGACUUUUAAAACGCGGGAAUAUCUUUUAACAAAAUAGAAUUUAUUUUUUUUAAACAUUUUCUGUUUAGUGUAUUUGAAUAUUUAUACAUAUAUACAAUUAUAUUAUUUUGUAUUUAUUAAAUACAAAAUUAUUUAAGGUAUUAUUUAACAUAAUUUUUAGAUAUUUCAACUCUUUUAGAUAGGAAUUUUUAGUGAAAUUUUUGUAAUUUAUUAUAUCAAUUUUAUGAUGUAUUUCUAUAAAAUGUUUAUUAUAAAAUUUAUUUGAUGUCACUUUAUUGCAUUUUAUUUAUAUUCAGUAUUUAAUUUAAUAUGAAACUUUAUUUCAAUUUAAAUGAAUGUAAUUUUUUAUUUAUGAAAAUAUAAAUAAAAUAAUCUCUUAAUUUAAUUGAUUUGAUACAGUUCGAAAUUAUUUUGUAGUAUCUACACCUACAAAAAUAAGUUAUACUUAUUACUUUCAGUUGGUGAAAAUGGUUUCAAAACUAAAAAAAAACCAUCAUAUGCAAUACCUUGAAGAUAUUGAUCACCUCAAUGAAAGCUUUUCUACUUUUCAUCUAACAUAUGUACCUCAGAUUCAAAAUACAAAAGCAGAUAAUCUUGCUCGUGGUGCACGAAAUCAGUUGUCCUAUUUUGUCCCUAUGGACACAUAUUCAUUUGUUUGGUUAGCAGAGUCUUAAUCGAAUUUGUUUAUGUUGAUGACAAAAAAGGGUUAUACAUAUUUUUGAUUUUUUAUAACUUAGUUGAAUGUUUUAGUCAAUUAUAAUGUUUUCUAUUGUUUAGACACAAUAUUAAUUAUUUUUUGUUUGGAAACAUAGAUAGUAAUAUAAUUUUGUUUUCCUAGCUACUUCAUAAUAGAGAGUUGUUUUAAUUUAAAAUCCUACAAAAAGUUAGAUUUAAGAGAGCAUUUCUGUUUUAAUUAGAGAAAUUAAAAUAUCAUUAUUUUAAAUCUUUUAGAAAUUCACCAAGUUUUUCCCCUGAUAAUCUUACUUGUUACUUAACUUAGUUUGUUUGAGUAAUUUGAUUUAUUAUUUUUAUUUUGUUUGUUUGAAUCAAGUACUCAUAUAUCAGGUAUCAGAAACAAAAAUAAUACUUACAAAUUAUUUGACUCGGUUUGUUAUUUGCUAAAUUAAUACUUGUCAAUAAAAUAUCUAAUUAUUUGUAAAUAAUUGAAACUAAAAUAAAUUUAACAAAUAACAAAUACCUUUUAAUGAGUAAUAAAUUGUUUUUAGCGGGUAAUACAUAUUGUAUAAUGAGUAAUUAGUAUUUUCUAUAACAAGUAACGAGCAAUAACAAAAUAAGUAACAACCCAAGUAUUAGAAAAUAUGAAGAGACUUGAUACUUAACUAUCUAAUUAUUUGAUAUGACGAGACUUAAUACUUGUCAAUAAAAUAUCUAAUUAUUUGUAAAUAAUUGAAACUAAAAUAAAUUUAACAAAUAACAAAUACCUUUUAAUGAGUAAUAAAUUGUUUUUUUAGCGGGUAAUACAUAUUUUGUAAUGAGUAAUUAGUAUUUUCUAUAACAAGUAACAAGCAAUAACAAAAUAAGUAACAACCCAAGUAUUAGCAAAUACGACGAGACUUGAUACUUAACUCAGACUUGCAAGUAAUAAUAUUAUUGAAUUUUUUCUUAAA